UACGGGAGGCAGCAGUGGGGAAUAUUGCACAAUGGGCGCAAGCCUGAUGCAGCCAUGCCGCGUGUAUGAAAAAGGCCUUUGGGUUGUAAAGUACUUUCAGUCGUGAGGAAGGUGUUAAGGUUAAUAACCUUAGCAAUUGACGUUAGCGACAGAAGAAGCACCGGCUAACUCCGUGCCAGCAGCCGCGGUAAUACGGAGGGUGCGAGCGUUAAUCGGAAUUACUGGGCGUAAAGGGCACGCAGGCGGUUAAUUAAGUUGGAUGUGAAAUCCCCGGGCUUAACCUGGGAAUGGCAUUCAAGACUGGUUAGCUAGAGUCUUGUAGAGGGGGUAGAAUUCCAUGUGUAGCGGUGAAAUGCGUAGAGAUGUGGAGGAAUACCGGUGGCGAAGGCGGCCCCUGGACAAAGACUGACGCUCAUGUGCGAAAGCGUGGGGAGCAAACAGGGAUUAGAUACC
rnacentral:rRNA from 1 species